UACGUAGGGGGCAAGCGUUGUCCGGAUUUAUUGGGCGUAAAGCGCGUGUAGGCGGUUAGGUAGGUCCGUUGUGAAAACUCGAGGCUCAACCUCGAGACGCCGAUGGAAACCAUCUGACUAGAGUCCGGAAGAGGAGAGUGGAAUUCCUGGUGUAGCGGUGAAAUGCGCAGAUAUCAGGAAGAACACCCGUGGCUGAGGCGGCUCUCUAGUACGUGACUGACGCUGAGACGCGAAAGCGUGGGGAGCGAACAGG
rnacentral:rRNA from 1 species